UACGGAGGGUGCAAGCGUUAAUCGGAAUUACUGGGCGUAAAGCGUGCGCAGGCGGUUAUUUAAGCCAGACGUGAAAGCCCCGGGCUUAACCUGGGAAUGGCGUUUGGGACUGGAUAGCUAGAGUACGGCAGAGGGAGGUGGAAUUCCACGUGUAGCAGUGAAAUGCGUAGAGAUGUGGAGGAACACCGAUGGCGAAGGCAGCCUCCUGGGCCAGUACUGACGCUCAUGCACGAAAGCGUGGGGAGCAAACAGG
rnacentral:rRNA from 1 species